rnacentral:tRNA from 2 species
GGGGCCGUAGCUCAGCUGGGAGAGCGGUUGCUUUGCACGCAACAGGUCAGGAGUUCGAUCCUCCUCGGCUCCACCA